UUCGGGGUUCGCUGAUGAAGGACCCCCGGUGCCUUAGCUAGUUGGUGAGGUAACGGCUCACCAAGGGGACGAUGCAUAGCCGACCUGAGAGGGUGAUCGGCCACAUUGGGACUGAGACACGGCCCAAAUUCCUACGGGAGGCAGCAGUAGGGAAUCUUCGGCAAUGGACGAAAGUCUGACCGAGCAACGCCGCGUGAGUGAAGAAGGUUUUCGGAUCGUAAAACUCUGUUGUUAGAGAAGAACAAGGAUGAGAGUAACUGUUCAUCCCUUGACGGUAUCUAACCAGAAAGCCACGGCUAACUACGUGCCAGCAGCCGCGGUAAUACGUAGGUGGCAAGCGUUGUCCGGAUUUAUUGGGCGUAAAGCGAGCGCAGGCGGUUUCUUAAGUCUGAUGUGAAAGCCCCCGCUCAACCGGGGAGGGUCAUUGGAAACUGGGAGACUUGAGUGCAGAAGAGGAGAGUGGAAUUCCAUGUGUAGCGGUGAAAUGCGUAGAUAUAUGGAGGAACACCAGUGGCGAAGGCGGCUCUCUGGUCUGUAACUGACGCUGAGGCUCGAAAGCGUGGGGAGCAAACAGGAUUAGAUACCCUGGUAGUCCACGCCGUAAACGAUGAGUGCUAAGUGUUGGAGGGUUUCCGCCCUUCAGUGCUGCAGCUAACGCAUUAAGCACUCCGCCUGGGGAGUACGACCGCAAGGUUGAAACUCAAAGGAAUUGACGGGGGCCCGCACAAGCGGUGGAGCAUGUGGUUUAAUUCGAAGCAACGCGAAGAACCUUACCAGGUCUUGACAUCCUUUGACCACUCUAGAGAUAGAGCUUCCCCUUCGGGGGCAAAGUGACAGGUGGUGCAUGGUUGUCGUCAGCUCGUGUCGUGAGAUGUUGGGUUAAGUCCCGCAACGAGCGCAACCCUUAUUGUUAGUUGCCAUCAUUUAGUUGGGCACUCUAGCAAGACUGCCGGUGACAAACCGGAGGAAGGUGGGGAUGACGUCAAAUCAUCAUGCCCCUUAUGACCUGGGCUACACACGUGCUACAAUGGGAAGUACAACGAGUCGCAAAGUCGCGAGGCUAAGCUAAUCUCUUAAAGCUUCUCUCAGUUCGGAUUGUAGGCUGCAACUCGCCUACAUGAAGCCGGAAUCGCUAGUAAUCGCGGAUCAGCACGCCGCGGUGAAUACGUUCCCGGGCCUUGUACACACCGCCCGUCACACCACGAGAGUUUGUAACACCCGAAGUCGGUGAGGUAACCUUUUGGAGCCAGCCGCCUAAG
rnacentral:rRNA from 1 species